rnacentral:rRNA from 1 species
GAUGAACGCUGGCGGCGUGCCUAACACAUGCAAGUCGAACGAACAGACGAGGAUCUUGCUCCUCGGACGUUAGCGGAGGGCGGGUGAGUAACGCGUGGAUAACCUACCUGUAAGUCUGGUAUCUUUUCGAGACAGCGGAGAUUAUACCAGAGGAGCUAUUGCAGCACAGGGGUGGAUGGUGAGAUACGGCGGUGGGGGAACGUCUAGAGGCAUACGAGCCGCAUGGGCUGGUUGGGACGGUAACGGCCUACCAAGGCAACUAUGCGUAGGCGACCUAAGAGGGGGGUAGGCCACACUGGAAGUGAGACACGGUCAAGACUCCUACGGGAGGCCGCAGUCUGGAAUCUUCCGCAAUGGGCGAGAGCUUUACGGAGCAACGCCGCGUGAGUGAUGACGGUCCUCGGUUCGUAAAACUCUGUUAUUGGGGAAGAACAAAUGUGUAAUUAGCUAUGCACGUCUUGACGGUACCUAAUCAGAAAGCACCGGCUAACUACGUG